UGCAUCUGCAGCCCAUGAGGAAGAGAACCUCCGGGGGCAGGGAGGUUCGACUCGAGCGAAGCGAGAGAACGUUGCGCCAGCAACGGCCCGCAGGGCGAGCCACGAAGUGGCGAGUAAUCCUCUAUCACCGACCA
rnacentral:sRNA from 4 species